rnacentral:rRNA from 1 species
GACGAACGCUGGCGGCGUGCUUAACACAUGCAAGUCGAACGGAAAGGCCCUGCUUUUGUGGGGUGCUCGAGUGGCGAACGGGUGAGUAACACGUGAGUAACCUGCCCUUGACUUUGGGAUAACUUCAGGAAACUGGGGCUAAUACCGGAUAGGAGCUCCUGCUGCAUGGUGGGGGUUGGAAAGUUUCGGCGGUUGGGGAUGGACUCGCGGCUUAUCAGCUUGUUGGUGGGGUAGUGGCUUACCAAGGCUUUGACGGGUAGCCGGCCUGAGAGGGUGACCGGCCACAUUGGGACUGAGAUACGGCCCAGACUCCUACGGGAGGCAGCAGUGGGGAAUAUUGAACAAUGGGCGGAAGCCUGAUGCAGCAACGCCGCGUGCGGGAUGACGGACUUCGGGUUGUAAACCGCUUUCGACUGUGACGAAGCGUGAGUGACGGUAAUGGGUAAAGAAGCACCGGCUAACUACGUG